rnacentral:rRNA from 1 species
GAUGAACGCUGGCGGCGUGCUUAACACAUGCAAGUCGAACGGAAAGGCCCAAGCUUGCUUGGGUACUCGAGUGGCGAACGGGUGAGUAACACGUGGGUGAUCUGCCCUGCACUUCGGGAUAAGCUUAGGAAACUGGGUCUAAUACCGGAUAGGACGAUGUGUUGGAUGCCAUGGUUGAAAGUUUUUUCGGGGUGGGAUGAGCUCGCGGCCUAUCAGAUUGUUUGUGGGGUAAUGGGCUAACAAGACGUCUACGGGUAUACGGCCUGAGAGGGUGUACGGCGACACUGGGACAGAGAUACGGCGCAGACUCCUACGGGGGGGAGAAGUGGGGAAUAUUGCACAAUGGGGGCAAGACUGAUGCAGAGACGCCGCGUGGGGGAUGACGGCCUUCGGGUUGUAAACUCCUUUCGCUAGGGACGAAGCGUUUUUGUGACGGUACCUGGAGAAGAAGCACCGGCUAACUACGUG